rnacentral:rRNA from 1 species
UACGAAGGGGGCUAGCGUUGUUCGGAAUUACUGGGCGUAAAGCGUGCGCAGGCGGCCAUCCAAGUCAGUGGUGAAAGCCCGGAGCUCAACUCCGGAAUUGCCAUUGAAACUGUUUGGCUCGAGUACGAGAGAGGUGAGUGGAAUUCCCAGUGUAGAGGUGAAAUUCGUAGAUAUUGGGAAGAACACCAGUGGCGAAGGCGGCUCACUGGCUCGUAACUGACGCUCAGGCGCGACAGCGUGGGGAUCAAACAGG